CAGAAAUGCAUACCCAGUGGAGUUAUUCUCACCAGCCAUGCUGCCAACCCCCAAUGAAGACUCCAUUCAUUCAGAAAAACAACAUGGGCAACUAAAUACAACUCCUAAGGCCUUAUGAGGGAGAUGGAAUGGAAAGAGGGAUUACUUUCUGCAGGCAGCCACUUCCUUGUCUCACCUGUGGGCCCCUAGGGCCAGUUCCUGUUACUGAAUUUCUGUAUCACUUUCCUGUACCUAGACUGAUCUUCGAAUGAGGUCUUGGGAGGCUUUGUUUCAUCAGAGGAGUGUCGUCAAAGAGCUCUUGCAUGGGACACAGCUUCUGUUCUUGGGCUACCUCACUUUCCAGCAGACAGGA